GAUUCCGACUACCUGCAGGACUACUAAUUAUCUCAGCAGAUUUACCCUAAUCACGCCCUGCUGCAGUCAAGAUAUGGAUUUGUUGCAGCUGCUUUUGUAAUUCUUUUUAACAUUACCAUGGUUUCACUCUGAACUCUCUAAUGCCUACAAUGAUUUUAGUGAGUGGAUAUUAAAAAUAAGAUCAUUGUUUUGAUAUUAGGAAUGUACCGAUUCCGGGACCGAUCCCACCUCUCAUCAAUAAAUUAGUGACAACCAUGUCAGCGAUAAUCCAGUUCAGCAACCAAUUAUCUGGAGUCUACAGCCGAGUUUGUCAUGAUCGCCUAGAAACGUGAGACAUUUGGCGUAAAGUUUAUCAUCAUACAUUGUAAGCUGGGGUGUUUUGGAAUGAUAUACUCAGUGACAGCUAUACCAUGCAGGUUUGAAUAAGAUACUCACGAAACAGUUACCAAUAUACGUGGUAAAUGCAGAAGAAUUUGUGAUAAUGGAAACGUAUGUUCAAAACUGGAACGUUUCAAAUUCCACCGAAGAGCUUACCUCGACGCGUGAAGUUAUUUGCGAUAUACGACGACUCGCCACAGAUCUACAUCUAAUCAUUUUAAUUGAACUUCGCAAGUUGGUCACUGAUUAUGACAUGUAUUUCAUCAUUCCAUUUUGUUUCAUCGGUAACAGCCUGGCUGUACUCGGCUCUCUACCUAAAGCAAGAAAAAGCUCAGCGUAUCUUUAUCUGGCGGUUCUUGCGUGCAGCGAAGCAUCUUACCUCAGCAGGAAACGUAUUGCCUGGGUACGAUAUUUUGGUAUGCGUCGUACGGAUUUAUAUUGUCAGAUUAACUUCUACACGUUGGUGGUGCAGUAUUAUUUCCAUGCUUAUAUUGUGGUGAUACUGACGAUUGAACGAUCCAUUGCUGUGACCAUGCCGCUCAGGGCAGCUACAUUGUUGACGAUGAAGAGAGGUGUUGUUACUCUAUCCUGUGGAUUAGUCUUUUGCGCCAUUGCGCCAAUUGACAAUCUUUAUCUGAUCCAUAAUCCUGAAGUGGGGUUUUGUGUUUACGAUUUUAGCAAGAAGCCGGGGGUCUUAGAUGCUAUUUACACAAAAGAUAACAUAUUGUUGGUCUAUCUGCCGUUUGCCAUACUCACAAUAUGUAACACCAUAAUCAUCAUCAGCAUAGCGAAAUCGGCCAAGUCUCGGAAACAAAUGGGUGAAACUCGAGGACAACUGGACUCUCAAAUCACAAAGGAUCGUCAAAUUACUAAUAUCUGCCUCGUGGUUUCAUUUAUGUUUUUGCUUCUUAACGCACCGCGGUAUAUUUUCAUUUCAUUUAAAGAGAAGAUAUUGGUGAAAAGGGGUUGGGAAUAUAGAAGAACCUGCGAAGAGGCAAUGUUUUUACAAUUUUUCUGGUAUUUUACCAAUUUCCUGAUUAAUAUAAAUGCUUGCGUGAAUGGUUAUCUCUACUGUCUAAGUAGUGCAUCAUUUCGAGCUGAUGUGAAAAUAUCAAUUUUUCGAAUCGGGAAUGCGCUGAAGAAAUGUUUUAUGAAAAGGUCCGCAUCAAAUUAGGACAGCUACGAUAUUAGGGAUCGCAAUCAGAGCCAACUGUCGAGCCAACUCGAGGAGAUUGCGACACUAGAAAUCGAAAGAUUUCACCUAGUUUGAUCAUAGCAUGCCUGGGCUCUUCUCCUGGCUGUAUAGAUCGGUUUUGUCUCGCGUAAACGGCAAUAUUUACACUGGAAAAUAGAUAACAUGUUCAGUAAUCUCGGACACGCUGAAAGUGGUUAUCCAUCGUAAUUACUGGUGGUCCAGGAAAAUAGAAAUGCAGUUAUACACAAUGCAGUAGUUCAGUUAUUGAGUUAGCUUAAACUUAAUCGUGAUAGUAUUUGUAUAUCAGUGGGAGAGAGGGAAUGCUGAAAUUUAUAAUUUUUAGCACGUAUUUACACAAUUUUCUUUUCUCUUCAACUCAAUUACCAACUUCAGUUUCUUAACGAACGGCAUUCAUAGGCCUUAACAAGGCACAAAACAAACCUCCCAGAUAUUAGUCUCAGUGAAAAACUGUCUAUGGAAUAUGUAGUCAACCGAGCGCACUUCAGACAAGCCGAAGAAAACAAAUCAUAUCUUUAUGUUAUGUCAAACCAUGCUAAACCGUUUAAAUGUGAAUUUAUUUUGACCAAAGGUCGCGAGGCUUGCAGCCGGGUCGAAUAUGGGUGACACCGUUAGGGCUCUUUAAUUCUUAAACGUCCUGUUUAAGAGUAGGAAGUUGUACGACUCCAUAUCUCCUUUCAGUAGGCUAGGGAGUUUUAGCAAAUCUCCCGAAACGUCCACGUGAACGCCUAUCCCAUUGUUCAACUUCGUAAUCAGGAGGUCGAACAUUGAGAUAGAGGUUCACGUUGGCGUGUCAGGUAUUUGCGAAAACUCUCUAUAGGCCGUGACUGAUGCGAAUCCUUAUUAUGACAUCAAAGUAUAACACGGUCGAAUCACAUGGGUGCGUAUGCACGAAUUCUCGUGGUGAUUGUUUUGGCGAGCUGGAUUGAUGUCGCUGAUCGCUGUAACGUCAUGGCAUCGUUACUUCUCGUCAUAACGUCAUCGCGACGCAGGCGCACAUUCGUGUUGGAUUAAUGCAAUUUGCAGCGAUAAGUACGGUGGCUGGGA